rnacentral:lncRNA from 1 species
GGGUCUGUGCUGGGACCAAUGCCCGUUAAAAUCUUUAUCAAUGACACUGACAAUGGAAUUGAGUGCACCCUCAGCAAGUUUGUGGAUGACAUCAAGCUGUGUGGUAUGAUCAACAUGCCCAAGGAACAGAAUACCUUCCAGAGACACCUAGACAGGCUUGAGAAGUGGUCCCAGGUGAACCUCAUGAGAUUCAACAAAUCCAGGUGCAAGGUCUUGCACCUGGGUUGUGGCAACACUCACUAUCAAUACAAGCUGGGGAACAAAGAGAUUUGAGAAUAGCCUUGCUGAGAAGGACUUGGGGAUACUGGUGGAUGGUAAACUGGACAUAAGCCAGCAAUAUGCUCUUGCAGCCCAGAGAGCCAGCCGUAUCCUGGACUGCAUCAAAAGCAGCAUGGCGAGCAGGUCAAAAGAGGUGAUCCUGUCUAUUCUGCACCAGUGAGAUCUCACUUCAGGUUCUAUGUUCAGAUGUGAAGUUCUCAGCACAGGAGAGACCUGUUGGAGCAUGUAUAGAAAAUAUUAGGUCACGGCCUGAAACAGUGAUUGAGCAUCUGGUGAAGGGGUGUGGCCAACCCUGGGAGCACAGAGGCAAGACGUUCACCUGUGCCACCAGAAGGAGUGGACCCUGGGUCUCCUAACUAAUCCCCCCCUAAUUUCAUUUAGGGGCUGGCAACAAAUAGGGAAGAAUCUCUGCUUGGAAGUGAUCUCUCUUUGGAGUUUCUGAUCAUUUCUGGGAAUGGUGAAGCUAUGUACAGCAGGUAGGAGAAACAAAAGAUGCAAAGAUCAGCCAGAACAGCUGAGUAAGCAGAACCAAACUAACAAAAUUGCCUUCUUCCAAGGUAAAAAGGUAUUUUAACAUAAACUGGCUUCUUCCUUCAGUGUGGUGUCACCAUGUAAAAAAAAAAAUAUAUAUAUAUGGUCUAUUCAAAGCCUAUUGGAAGUUUUUGGAAACAUCCUAAAUCUACCCGGAGAUGAGGAUGGAGUUCCAUAAAAUAUGCAAAAAUGAACACUGCACCAUUAAGGCUGCAGACCCCCAAAAGGACUGCUCUUCGCCAGGUCGUGUCUACUUCCUAUUGGGGGACAAAAGAUUGCAGGCACAUAGCAGGAAUGCUUCAGACUGACUUAAAUUUCUGUCGUGAGUCUGCCGUGCAUGAUGUUUUGCUGGACUACGUUGUUAGUAAUGGAAAAAGUAUUGAUUUUAGGUUGCCCAUCUUCAGACUGACACGUGGACUUUAUGGAUAUGAUUAUGCAAUUGUGUAACAGAUUGUGGUGUUUUUGCCUGGGUCGUGGAUGGGCAGCUAAACUACUGGAUUCUUCUGUACAAGUUGAACUUAGCAGUGAAUGGAGCAGAAAGGCUCGUUCCUAUGAAGUCUCAAGUAGCUUUCACGUGCCUUUAAAAUAUCCAAUGAUAAAUGUCUUAGUAGCUUGAAAACUUGUAGAGAGAAAAUAAAAUAUAUAAGCAGCCUUAAUUGAAAAUGAAAUUAAAAAAAAAAAAGGGAGAAAAAAGAAAAAGCUAUAAAAGCUCAAUGGUUAAGCCGAUUUUCAUGUCAAAUGUACACAAUUUUUGCCAUAGUUGAGGAUAUUUAUGCUCUUCUAUAAGUAUCUUGUGUUAAGGUAAUCCAUGUUGCAGAAUACAACAAUAAGACAUAAGGGUGCUCAUGUCAUUGCUGUUUUGCUGAUUUAGUAAUUAGUUGCUUAGCUAGUACUGUCUUGCUUUCUUCUUUAGCACUCAUUCCACAUAAUAAAUAUUACAAUUAAACCAUACAUGAAAAAUGAUAACGAGCUCAAGCUAGAACUUCUGUUUGAGAAAAAAUUAUGUGAAAGAUUUGCUGCUGAAAUGAAUGCUCUCUUACACCCCAAAUAUUCACAAGUUUGACUCUCUAGAAGUGGAUUUCCUAAAAGUAAUGUCUACUGUUUUAUUAUGUUGGACCACAUCAGAGGCAGAUGUUGGUGGUAUGGCAGUGGAGGUUGAGCAUUCCCACAUUCCAUUACAUUUUAUUGCCGUAAGACAGAUGGCAGCAGAGGGACAGUCUGACAAAAUGGCAUCUGAUGUGCAAGUGCAGAUGACAGAAAGGUAUGUCACUGAAUGCCUCCACGUGAAAACAGUUGCACUUGUUGACAUUCACUGAUGCUUGCCGAAUGUUUAUGGAGAUCAAACAGUGGAUGUAAGCACAGUGAGGCAGUGGGUGGUAUGUUUCAGCAGUGAUGACAGCAACAGUGGGUCACCUCUGCUGGUGCAGAUUUUAAUGAGUGCAACAUGCAGGCUUUUGUUCAUUGCUUGUGACAAUGCAAAGUUCACUGUGGUGACUUUGUUGAAAAAUAGUGUCUUGUAGCUGAGAAUUUGCUCUGUCAAACAGCAUUAUUGUACUCUAAAUAGGAGGCAUUACUUUCAGAGCAAUCUAUGUAUAAUGUGCUUUCAUUUUAGCACUCCUGAAACUGUUAAUCAAAGAAAUUAGAUUAUAAUUAUAUUAUAGACAGUAAUCAUGUGCUUAAUGCAUACAGCAUAUUUGCAAAACAGUUUUUUUAAUUUAUGCUUUUUUCCAGUUGCAUACAGUCUAGAGAGUUGUGUUUUGAUUGCUCUUUUUUUUAUUAUUUUUAUUUUUAAUAACCAUGUAUAGUUCUUUUAAAGCAUGAAAGUCUCUUUGGAAUAUAAGCCUGUUUAUUUUAUUGUGCUCUGUUUAGUUAUUUAAAAAAAAAAAAAGUUACAGACACGUAAUUGUAGCCAUCUGUUGUGUUUUAAGUCCAAUCUAGCCCAAAAGUCAAAAAAGUCAUGGCAACGACUUAUAAAAACAAUGGCAAUAAUAUGAACUCACUAUGGUUACUGGAGAACCUUUAUUUCUCCACUCAAAUGAAGUAAGUUUCCUCAGAGAAUUAUUUAAUGUUUGAUUUAUUUCUUUAUUAAAUUUGCCCACAAUAUGACCAGCUUCUCUAUCAAGAUUGUCAUAUAGCUGUCUCCCUAUAGUAAAUCUGUAUGUCUCCUCUAUGCUGAAUUUUGUGAUUAUACAAAACCAAACUCUAAGGGAAGUCACAGUGCUUGCCAUAUAUUACUCUAGCACAGCCAUCAAGAAGGAUUAAGAUUGUUUAAGAAAAUUUAUUAAUGGAUCUGAGUAAAAUGUAUCAUAUCAUAUAUUUAACUCAUACUCUGACAGAUAUAAAAUUCAUUAUUUAUAGAUUUUAGAUAUUUGAAGAGUAUAUUUGCUUUAUUAAUUCACUGAGAUACUUGGUAAAAAGUUUUAUUGAAGAAUUUCAUCAAAAUGUCAGUGACUUUUAUGUGAGAUUGUUAAUUUUCAGUAUUAUCCUGUCUUCUAGAUGUAUCCAGAUUGAAAGUGUGCCACAGUUAUUCUAGUGAGGAGUGGUGCUCUGUGUACGUACAGGUAUUUGUAGCGUGAGCAAUAAAUGCCACGCUGGUGUUGAAAAUGACCUCUAGAGGUACUGGGUAAAGUCAGAUGGAUGGAUGCUUUCUGCUACUGCAGACUGCAGCCUCAGUGUGUUUAAUUUAUUCCCUUUGCUGUGUACUUCUGGAGGAAUCACAUGAUACAAAUCCACGCAAAUUGUUUUUACACAGUCAAUCCUACAUGUACCUCCUGCUAAACAGAAAUGCUGAAGUGCGUUUGGGAAGCAGAGCUAUCUUUUUUAGCUGAAUUAUAGAUCAUUGGAUUCUAGUGGCUGCUAACUACCUCUUAAACUAAGGGUGCUUAGGGCACGAUAUGUAUGAGAGCUCUGCCCAUUUCACUCUUCUCACUUUGUAGAUCCUGAGUUUAUGAAAUUGUAGUUUUGAGACUCAUGCAGUGCCUGUCAUUAGGCAGAAUUAAUAUGAUCCCAGGCCACCGCCAGUCGAGCAGUGAUCGAGUGAUGAAAAUAACGUUUCCUUAAGAUUACUGAGCAGUGGGCAUUGCUGCCUGGACCCUAUGAAAUUCCACCGUAGUCAACAGCAGGGAACUGGAUUGUUUCUGUCAAACCAAGUCUGGCGCUGUAAUGGUGAAGGUAUGAGAAAACAGUGUUUUGUUUCCAGUUUUUAAGCUGCCUCCACUUGAAAUAAGAGAGGUAAGUAAUGGUCAGUGUAUAUAGACUUUUAGUUAGCUAGCAAUCAUCUCACUGAAAUGGCCAAUACUUUGAAUUCCUGUAAAGGAGAGGUAAAAUAGGAAAUGCAAGUAACAGUGUGUAUGCAAACUUCAUUCAGAAGAAUGUCAUCUGUGAGCCACGUGCUAUUUUUUUGCCUGACAUUUAUUGGGCUAAUUAAGAUUGUGUAUGAGUGUCUUUGCUUUUACUCUUGACUAUUUUGAGAAAUAUAUCUACUGAGCAUGGUAGUAAAAUCACUCUUAUUAGUACCUGCCUCAUACUACCAUUGAAAGUGGUGGUACGGACUUGCUUUUACAAGUUAUUGCUAACUUUCUUUUCUUCAGGAGUGUACAAAAACAUCCACUUUUGACCUAAAAAUUAUUUAUUAGCACAAUGAUAGCAACUGCGAAAGUUGUGUCAAAAUAUCAACUCUGAUUUUCUUUUUCCUGAGAAGCUUACAGUGAACAGUUCUUUGCACGAUCAGAUUUUCUUUUAUUUUCUUGAGUUGCAAAGAAGAACUUUCAAUGCAAUAUCAUUCUCUCAGCAAAAUGAGUCCUUGGAGUCCUUCUCUUUUUUUGUUGUUCUACUUUUUCUUUUUUCAGACUUCUAUUUCUCUCUCAUUUGAAUUAUUUUUCUAGAUAUUUAUCAUUAUUUCUUGUUUGUGUAUGUAUUUGAGUCACUGUCUUUUAAAUCUUAAUGCUUAAAGUAAUCUGGAAUGGAGGAAUUCAUUUUAAUACCUUUUAUCAAAUAACACAGUAAGUGAAAAUCAAUUUAUUUUAUGUAAUUCAUCCUAAGUAGCCAUUUAUUUGCUAUUUCAUUGUAUAAAACUUUCUCAAGCUUCCUGUAUUACUUCAUUAGAAGUCGAUCGAUGUGUAAAAGUAAGGCAUAGCUCAGAAGGCAAAAGGAGCAUGCGGCUGGAAAGAAAGUGUGCCAGACUCAUGUCUGAUCAGUAGUGCUGUUGAUAACCUCAUUUGGUCAUCAUCUGCUUGCAGCUGGGAUUACAUUAUGCAACUGCAAGAGUUUCUGAUUUUUUUAAUACUAUGUCAUCCAUAGCAAGGAAGAGAAUUAAUUUUGGAAAAAAGAAAAUAUCUUAAGAUGUUUUUAUUCAGCUCAGGAAGCUAAAAUACCAAUGACACCAAUUUAAAUCUAAGUGAGAUAUUUUGGGAUGACUUGAAAGCAACCUUAAAAAAAAUAAUAAUAAUUAAUACUCCUGAAGAUCAGCGAUUUAAGUUUCUAAUCAGAGAUCUCAUCUGUUGCACAGGUGGUUGUACAAACCAUUUAAAAAGUAUUUGCAGGAUCAAAAUAUCACAGUUGUGUGCUGUAGUGUUUGGAAUUUCAAUUUGCCAUAAGCUCCUCUUUCCCAUUUCAGUUCUUUCAGUCUCUGGUUAAUAUUAAUCCUGGCUAAUGGUGCAAACAUUCUGGGUGUGAUGCAACAAGACGUAAAAGCUUGUUCAUAAUCUGAAAUAUUCAAGUCAUCCUUUUAACUGAUAAGCAUAUGAUUAAGUGCUCUGCUGGAACUCUGCCAGGGGACAUUUUACUGCUAGCGAGAAUGAAUUCACUUGCGCACUGUAUCACACACCUUCAAAUCCUGCUUGGGACAAGCCUUCCCUCUGCAGGAUAGAGCUGGUACAUUGUGGACUGGACUAUUAUCACAAUUAACAGCCUGAUGGUGUUCAAACCAUCUGGCAGUGCCUCACAAAAAAAGAGACGGGGAUCAUAAUCUGUGAGUGAAUAAAGAAACCAGGCCAAUUUCCACAGUUUGCGUGAAGCAAAAAUCUCCCACUGACUCAAUUAGGUGCCCUGCCUGACUAUAGGCUGCAUGAUUUGGCCAGUGUUUUCUAUCAUUCCACUAUUAUGACAGAAGUCACCAGAACAAUUCCAGCUGAGGAGCAGUCAUGCUCCGUGUUUCGACUGGAGGACAAAUGGAAGGCUGCUGCAGAAUCUGCAGGCAGAUUUGCAAUGGCUAGUGAUACGACAUAAUCCUGUUGCUCAGUCCUGUGGAGCUUUCAGAUUUAACGACCCUUUUAUUUACACAAUGACAUGAGACAGAAAAGGCUUGCUCUUAGGUAAACAAAAUGAAGCUUUUGUUCUUAGCUCUUGUAUGUGUUGUGUGGAAAGUUCUGUUUCAACAAAUCCUGUAAAAAAUAGUAUUUUAUUUCAAACAGGAACCUUAAUCUUUUAUUCUACUUGUUAUAUAUUUCUCUAUCAUUGAUAUCUCAUGGCAGAAAUUUACUUCCAUUGGUUUCCUGUUUGCAUAUUACCCUUAGGAGACAAAUACCUAGUUCUGGUUUCUACUAAACACUCCCCAUAGUAUUUUUCACUAUCUCUCUUCUCUUACUGAAUAGACUGAAUCUUGAAAAUAACUGAAGUUCAUAUUACCAGACACUUCAAGCGGAAAACUUCUGGUUUUCAAGGACUUUUACAUACUUAGCUGUUUUCUUGACCAUAGAAUACAAAUUCAUCCUUUUUUUGCUUGCUCUUUCUGGCACAACUUUUGUAGAUGUUAUUUCAGAAAUUCAUCUUCCUUUUCCCAUUUUUUUCUCCUUUUAAAAGGCCUUACUCCUCUUCUAUAGCAGAAAAUAUCAAACUGACAAGGUCAAAUACACCCUCCUAGGAGAUGGACUUUACUGGUUUCUGCUUUCACCUUUGCAGGCAUCCUUUUCUGGGAAUUAAAAAAAGCCCCCUAACCUAAAAACAUGUGGAAUCGAUAAAUAUGAUGUCUAGGCAAUCAGUUUAGUCAGUUUGGAUAAAGGAGUCAGAUGAUGGGGCUGGUGUUUUCUUUCUUUUUUGUUGUCACACACAGCCUGUUCAUUGGUCCCUCAUGUUUCACGCAUGAUGAAAUACAUGCAAGGAUCAGAUAAAGAGGUGUUUUAGCAUAUGUCCAACGGGAGAAAAAUUGUAUAACCGAACCUACAGUAGCACUUAAUGCAAUAAUUCUUCAUCACCAGUCCUCAAACAUAUUGGCUUUUCUCAGUCCCCAUAUUUGUGCCGCGUACUCAUUCCUUGCUCUUACCUCCACUCCCUGCUUGCGCAGCCCUGGGUGCCUCUCCCUCUGACAUCCUGGCCAAGGGUGCUGCUCCCUUCCCACUGCAUCCCCUGAUCGGAACUUUCUGAACAGUGAGUCACUACCAUGCCUGAAAUCUCUCCUUUAAAGCUUCUCUUCUUCUUGUGAUUUAAAAGCAGAGCGCAAGUCAGCAUCCAGAAAAUGAUCCACUGCUGUCUACUGGAUUUUGCUGUUCUUUGAGACCUCACUGGACCUUGGCUAGUUGUAGGUAUCCUAUGCUCACGCUCUCUAGUCUUUCUAGUCAUCCCAUAGAUUAUUGCUUGUUCACCAGUUUUUCUGCCUGCACCCUGACACUGAAGCAUUUUUUCCUUACACAGUUGAAAUCAAUGUCACCUAAUAAAUAUCUGGUGAGGAGUGAUACUUGAGAUAUUUGAAACCUCAAAAAUAGAUACUGGAGAAUGGCCUAUGAUAUAAUUUCUUUGCGUUUUCUAUUGAUUUUCUUGCUAUUUUUCUCUCUUGCAUUUCCCUCCAUUCUGUUCUCCAAGGACACAAAAUGAAAACAAACACUCCAUUUCCAUUUUCAUUCAGCUGUUUGGCCAUCGCUAUAGCUCUUUGGUAAUUCAAUACUGAUAGCUGUUUCAGGACCCAAAAGGAAAUCACAAGACAGUGCAAUUAUUUUCUUGUUAAUUUUUCUUGUUAAUUUUUUUUCUUUAUUCAAAGCAUGUAGUGAUAGAUUAUCUCCCAUGCUCUUUUUCCUGUUCUCCACUUGCAAGAUACAAAAGUCAGCAAAGACUUGCUGAAGGUCCUCUUGGCAGGAGGCACGCUUCUGUAGGAGGAAGCAGGGAGAGAUCUGCUGGUAACACUGACUCCUUUAUCUCUUUCUUAGCCUGGGAGUGUGUUGGAGAAAAGAAAGGAAGUGACAUAAUUAACUUUGAUAAUCUCUCUAGUUGGUAGAUGGGCCUUGGGGAAAUGACUGAGUAGUGUUUGUUAGAACAGCAUAAUUCCAAGGCCAGGCAGAAAUAGGGGAACUAUGGCAAUAAUGGGAGCUGAAUCCUCACUGUACAAAUGCAAGUCAGUCAUGGAAAAAGUAUGGUGAGAAACAUAGUCUUUUAGCCUUGAUCUGCUUCAGUUUGUAUUUUGCUUUCAGGGUAAAAAUGUUAAACCACGUGUCUCAUCUGUGCAUGUGCCUGUGUAGCGUUAAUACUGCAGCAUGUUAGAGUACAGAUGCGCUGUUGAGAACUAGUUAAUUUUGUGCAUAUCACGGUCCAUCUCUGAAUAUCUAAUUACCAGUGCGGUUUUCCUGUCAAAAUGAAAUAGCACAACAUUUGUGGAACAUACAUGUACAGAGCUGACACUGUUUGUGGUUGUUGGCUAUGUAAAGAUAUACAUUCUAACACCAUUAAGCCACCUGAAAAUAAAUCAAGAAAGAAACAAAAAGCCCCCAAACGCACAGAGCUUGUGAGGCAAGCCACAGGCAGCCAGCAUGGAUCUGGCCAUGUCUACAGUGGGUGAGGUGGGAACCUUGUCCCAGCUCAGUGGUACCAACAGGUGCAGCAGGCUGUGCGACAUGACGCUAUGCAGCUUGACAUGCAUGGGGCUCCUUGGGCCCUGUGGCCCAGCUUCAGGAUGCUGCUGAGUGGCACUUGGUGCAGGUUGUGGCUGUGGCCCUGGCCCAGGGAGCAGGAAGUCUUGGUCAGGAGAAAGCGUGGUGGGCGUCUGUUUUGCAGCCUGCACCUGUCUAGAGCAUAGACAAAGAGUGUGCUUUUGGAUUUAAGGCCUGUGUGGGACAGAUUAAAGCAGAUCGAACUGAUACUGUAGCAUUACACUUCACUGAGACUUAAACCUUUUCUGAUGAGGAGAACAAAAAUCUCCAUUAAAAAGUACGGAGCAACUGAAGUCACCAGAAGACAGUUAAUAAUGACCCAUAAAAUGAACCUGAUCUUCCAGUGAACAAUAUAAAAAUUCAUUUAAAAUAUUUAACAAAGAAAGACUACUACAGGCGAGAGUCUCUUUUACAAGAGCGUCCUGGCAAGAGGGGCAGCAUAACAGUCAAUUAUUACAAACAAAAUCCAGGUUUCUUAAUUAAAAUACAAAAUACUGGCUCUGCUGUGUAGCCUGUAAUAAGUUAUGUCUUGAGAAGACUGUAAUUAUGCUGGCGCCUGCUAGUGCCGCCAUACUUAAGUCUGUCACCAUUUCCAUUAUAAACCCCAUUUUUGAACAAUUUAUAACUUAGCCAUAAAAAAUAAUUUUAGAUUGAAACUUGGCAAAGAGGUUCUUAGACAUAACCUUUUUUUUUCUUUUCUUUUUCUUUUUCUUUUUUUUUUUUUUAAUACAAAUAAUCUGUUCGGUCAUCUUUUAGUUGUUUUGAGGAGAGAACUAAACAGGCCAGAAGUUUUAUGGUUUUGAAGCUUUCUGGCCAUUCUCUAGUAUAAACAUACUUUCUUUUUUCAUCAGCAUCAAGAGUAUCCUUCAUUGCUUGGAAGCAGAGGAUCUUAGCUCUUUGAAAGUCCAUAAAUACAGAAAAACAAACUUCAGCAUUCCUUGUGGAAGCAGUGAAGACUCAUGAACAUUACAAUGGAAAAAUGAGAACAGACAGAAAUUAGUUAAUCCUGGGCCUCAGGAGAAAUCAUAGCAAAAGGUUUCUGCUUCUGAGACAGCUUAGUUCCCAGCAGAGACCUGCAGCACUUUCUCGUGCCUGAGGAAGACAUGGCUGGAAUCAGAGGUAGCAGUAUCUCACGGGUCUUGAGUGGAGAAGGCCAAACCUGAGGCUUCCUUAGCAGCUCCUUGUAUAUGCUUCUUCUGGAGCUGCUCACAGGGUGCUGAGGAAGAGAUCUGCCAGAAAAUCAUAGAAUGUUCUCAUUAACUUGUUUCAGUGCACUUUUUAUCACCAAAGAUAAAAAAGAAAACAAUGAGCCCUGAACAUACUGGACAUCAGCUCUGAAAAAAGGACCAUGAGAAGGUAUACCUGUUUACUUGGGCUAUGCUGAAGCUAUUCCUGUUAAGCAUUAUUGAUGUAACAACUGAGUAAACUACAGAAGUUCCCUGUCUAUCAUCCUAAUCUGAACAAAAAACAGUUUAUUUUUAUGACCCAAAGCUGAGUUUCUAGAGAGGCAGAUACAUUCUUUGAUGAGUAAUACUGAACAACAAAUAGUAAAUACCAUGAAAAUAUAAUUGUGUAACUACUUCCCAAAGGAAAAGAUUGUUUCACAGUCCCAGUCUGCAUCUGUAGCUCUUAUAAUUUACAUGACUUUAGUAGAAUUCCUCUAGGACAUACGAUUUGUUCCAAAUUAAAGGUCUGAAUGUUAAAAAAGGAUCACUGUAGGUGAUGAACCUAAAGAAUAGAACAGAUGGACCACUUGUACAUCUCUACCAUAUUUAGAUUACCAUGCAGUUUUGGAUGCAAAGUUUAUGAUCUAAAUUAUUCUUUUCUUGCCUAAGCCUGUCUCAUGAGGGACAUGCAUUACUCUAAUUAACAUCAUGCAAAUCCUGUUUACAAAAUUCCAGCUCUAUAAAGGAAAGCUUAGCAGCUAAAGUGAUCUUUUAAUGCCAAUAUGCAGAUUUUAGUGAAAAGUAGGUAAAUGCUUUGCCUAGUAUUUCAGUUUUUGUCAACCACUGUAACAAAGCACUAAGGAAAACAAGUGAGUUUUCUAGGUCAACAGCACAGACAGUCUUUUCACAUUAUUCUUUUGCUUUGCCAGCUUACCACAUGCUGGUUUCAAUAGAUUGUUUGUAUUAGUAAAUUUUGGCAACCAUUACCUACUGUUGGUUAAAAAAAAAUUAAUUCAUCAGCUGUGACAAAUGGUAAUCAUUUGUAAGAUAAAGGCAAGAUUACGUGCUAGAAGGGAGUAUGAUCUAAUGAGAGAAAUUCAGUCAGGCAAUAUUUCAUUUCAAAGAGUUGCGUUAUGGCCACUGCUGCCACACUGCUUCUGCCUGUUGUCUACUUGAACCGACCCAGCCACAGAGAUUUCAAAUAUGUGUGUUAUGUUAACACAGUUACCUGUCCCAGUUUGCUUGCUAUCCUGUUUUGGGUUCUUGCAGUGAUAACUCAGAGCAAACACAAAAGAUACAAUUAAUGUCCUUCCUGACUGAGGUAGUAUGAAAACAGUACCAGCACCUGUUUUCUAAUAUUACCGGACCACUCACAAAAUGUCAGGUAUUGUAUUGAUCAUUCUUAGUCAAGCCCAAUGUUGCCUUUUCCAUACAGCAUUCUGUAGCUUGACUGUUGCCAGUUCCUUAGCUGGGUCUGGGCUAUACCCACAACGGAUCACCUUGCUUGAAGAAGUUUUCAUGGAAAGACCAGCCAAUACGCACCAAAGACUUUAGGGUGAGUUUAGUCUUUUUCAAUGGCCCCAUGCACAUCUUCUGCAAUCUUCGUCACACAACAAUAGGUGACUGGUCUCUCAAGGACUGCAUGAUUCGUGGUAGUGUUUGUUUAAUUGAAUGUAGCUCCUCUUUUACUGCCUGAGAGGCCAGCUGAUCUUUUACAAAAGGGUAAACAUAUUCCUAAACAAAGGAAGUCAUUUUAAAAGAAGAAAAGAUCUGUCUGCAGGUAUGUGAGUACGGAGAAAAGAAAUGCGAAGGGCAGAGAAAAACAGUGGAAAUGGGGGGGUUAAAGGUUUAAAGUUAAAAAUCUGAAAAGAAAGGCCAUGUGGCAUCAGAGGCAGCAUAUCCAGAAGCAAGGAGACAUAACGGGAAGAAAUACAGGAAAGAGAGGUAGCACAUACAAAACAAGGCACAGGAAAGUUAUGAAAACAAACCUGCAGUUUGCAGAAUGAUUGCGAGACUGCUGUGUCGUACAGCCGCCAGUAGAGGUGCUAAAGCCACAGCUAUAGAACUUAGUGGCAAAGUGCUCAGGGGAAGAAAUAAAUCCUGAACUGAGAUAGAUUGAACGUUUCAAGAAAUGAACAGUGGUGCAAUGCAGCUCUUUGAGGGUAAUCAGCGCAGACGUGAAUUUUUAAACUUCUCUGUAGGUGAAAACAAAAAUGCAGCCAGCAAGAGGCAGAAGGGGUUCCCCACAAAAGAACAAAGGGAACAGCAUGGGAACAGCAGAAAAUUCCUAUGGAAACGCUGUAACCUGCAAACAAUGAGAGCAGGUACCAGUGUGCAGCUGGGGCACAAUAAAACCCUCUACAAGCUGAGCCAAGAAUAAGCUUCUUAAAAAGUGCUAUACUUUGCUACUUAGAAAUGUUGCUCUUGUCCAAGUGUUUUGUAUUUGCCUCAGUGCAGUUCUUUUUUUUUUUUCUUUUUCUUUUAACUAAUUAGAGGUUUGUUAUAAACCAAAGGGGAUUUCUGGGAGCUCUUUGGGUUUGUAAAUUAUGCAAAUGGCAGCACUGUGGUGCUGGAUCGUAUUAUUAAUUGUAUAUUUUGCGGUUCAUGUAUUCUUAAGAGUACGUGUAAAACAAGUUCUUCCCUUUUUAUUUUUCCCGUUCUCAAACACAGUAAAUUAUAAGAAGUCUUCAAGCAGAUUACAGAAUGAUUUCUAUUUUUUUUUUUUUUUAAUCCUUGAAAAGAAUGCCUUGUUAAUGCUGGAGGCUGUUUUGUGCUGAAAGCUUUACAACAUCUUGCGCAUGCAACGAACAGGACAAACUUCACAGAUUAUACUUUAGAGCUGGGGUUCCUUCUGCAACUUUUAAACAAAGUGUUCUAUCAAACGCCAUCUGUAAGAUGCCUGAUGAGUUAGCUCUUGGACUGAUACGUGAUUGUGCAGGAACUUCUGAAAUUCUGAAUGAAAAGCUGAUUGGUAACCAAAUAAAUUGCUCUAUAACAUCAGUAUUGAACACUUGUAUUAAGCAAACUUUGCUUUGCAAUGCGUUUUUCUGUCUGCAGCGUAAAAUAGAAGCACUCUCCCUAUAUAAUGCUUAGCAAUCCUCAGGAACGUACGUAAGGGAUACAGACAUUGUGUAAAACACCAGUGGUUACCCUAAAAUUGAGGUGUGAGGAGCACAGCACAGCUAUCAUUCUGUCUGGAUAUGAAGUUUAAUAAAGUAAUCACACAGAACAAAUAUUCUGUUCCAGUAAUGAUAGUGUUUCUGCACAUGAAAUGCUUCCUGUCUCUCAAGUAGCAAACACUGUGAAGUUAUCCCAAGUUAAAGAGUUUUAUAUAGAUAUGCUACAUUUAUAAUAUUGUAAUCAAUUUAUUUCCCAACUGCCAAUUUCUGCAGCUAAUGCAGCCAAUUUUCACACUUAGUCAAUUACAAGUGGAAUUCCCUUUGCAUUAGGAGACAUGUAUUUCAUUGACACAGGAAAAUAUGUUUGUUUUUCUUUAACAUGUUUGCAGGGUAAAAAUACAACUUUCAUAAACCAUUCAACUCAAUGAAUGAAGAAAAAGAAAAAGCCAAAGAUAUCAUGCUUGGACAUUUGGAACAUACAAAGAUAGGCACACUUAUGCUCAAAAGCUUGUAUAUAUACAGCUGAUGCCCAAACCUCUGUAAAUUCAGCUUAGAGGUAAGUAGUAUAGCAGGUAUGCCAGACAACAGUGUCUGUGUAACAUUUCUGCCCCUUGAAGAAUAUAGAAGACUUGUUUUUUAUUUUGCUGGAGAAUCUGUAAUUUUAACCCCUAGUUAUUUUCCUGCUUUUGUGAAUCCUUUUUAUAAAAGUUUCUCUGUGCACCUUUUUCAGCAUUAACCUUGCAGAGACAGUAAUGACAGACUUACACAUUUUGAACAGUGGGUCAUCUGUUUAUGCAUUAUAUAAAUGCCAAGUUUAGCUGGUCGUUAAGGGGGAAAGAGCCAGCAGAACCAAUCAGAUUGCAUGUGUAGGCUUCGGACACAGAUUGCAAAUAUCUUGGAAAGGAUCUGUCUUUUAUUCUUUUUUGCAUGUGGCAGACAGUUACGGAGACCCGCUCUUGCGAUGAAUCUCUGCAAGCUGAUGUGAUAGUGAGGAUCCAGUGAGUUACUGCACUUGGUGGCCCUCCACUGAUUUUAUUUCUCAGUAAUGGGCACUGCCCAUAGAAUCAACCUCACCCUUAACGAUUGCAGUAGCCUCUGGAGAACAAUAAUUUUUUUCACUGUCGCAGUGUUAGGAUCCAUUGCAAUCCAAGUCUGUUUCAUGACUUAUAAUAUUUGCUCUAAUAUUGUUUAGAUUGGUGCAUCCGUAAGAAGCUUCGAAUCUGCUUAUUCUUCGUCCAUAAGCCACAUUAUUUAAGAAAUUCACCUUUCUCCUUCCUAGAUUGUGCUGCAUGUGUUGCCCACACGGUGCUCUGCUGUUGCCUUGCUUCUGGGACCCUGACCCCACGUGCUCCUCUGCCAAAGAUCUGUCCCAGUAUGAGCUCCCUUGUGUGUCAUUUUGGUUUUCCUCUUUAUUUUCUUACUUUGUUACGUACCAGAUAAUUACUGGUCAGGUGAUUUCUUAUGUUGCUUUCUGGUUGAGUAUCUGGGGAUGAAAGAAGGUCAAUCUGUGUAUAUGUUUUAUAUUCUGGAAUUUCACUUUUGGAUGCAGGGUAAAGCUAGAAUCUCUGGGGCAUCUUUUUUAAAUCCCUUGGUUUGAUUCUGGGUCAAUAAUUUAUACUGACCUCAACUGUUAUUUAGAUUUGAAUGUAUCCGAAUGUGGCAUGAACAUGGCAUUUCUUUUAAGUUUUAAUAUUAUGCAAACAAGUCGAAAUAAGUUUUUAUUGUAAAACUUGAAACACAGAUCUAAGAUGACUUUGAAACUGAACCCCAAGCUAAACAGAAUCCAGAUAGCUGUGCCAAUAUAUUUUUAUAUUUUAUCAAAUAAAAUAUCUUGACAUGCUGAAAUUGUAUGUGGUAUUUUUCUCUGGAAGUAAAUUGGUUCAUAUUGGAAACAUGAAAUGGGACCUAUCAGCUCUUAGAGAGUCCUUUCAUUCCUCUAGCAAAGGCUUUCAUUUUUAGAGCUGGCUAUAUCUCACGUACAUGAGAGAUCCACAUUAACCAUGACUGUUCAUGGAAUGCAGAUUUAUUACAUAAGGUCAUUGUGUUUAUAUUAAUAACAACAUGUUUAUUUUUAUGCUCUACUCAUGGAUGUUUGAUAGCUCAGUGAAGAGGAGGUUACUGUAAAAUAAAUCCAUUGUAUUAGUUUGCAUCUUUGGUUAUGGCUCCGUCUGGAAGCGGCAGGAGCUAUUUUCAUCAACCACACAAUUACUAGGUUGUCCUACCUCGUUUCUAUCUAGAAAGUUGUUUACAAGGUAAAAUCAUCCUCAAACUUGAGACCGUGUUUGGCUUUUUCAAUAGGAAGAGAUUAACUAAAUACAGGACUCCAGACACUCUAGUGGGAUAAUAUAGGAAGUUUCUAUUGCUGGCUGUACUGAUGGGCUGAGGACUUAAAUCCUCUGAGCAAUCAAUCCAUGGGCUUUUAUGAACGCUUAGGGAAAAAAAGAGAAUAUACUGCUGGAAAAGAGAAAUAAACCUUGUUGCAAAAUACAUGAUGGGCUGAUUCAAAAAAGACAUAUGUAUGGUAAAGUCGCAUGUAUCAUUACAACUGUCUGAGCAGAACAAGUGAAAGCAAAACAAAAAUGGAAAUGAUGGUUCUCUUCUAACAAAUGGAUGUUGGGGGGAAACCUUAAUGAAGGAAAAAGCAUAUUCUGAUUUUGAGUGUUUUUCCACUAAGAAUAGGAGAGCUUUUGCUAAAUAGCUUCAUUAAUUUCAGUGUUAAUCCAGCAGGUCUAGUAUGAGAUAAAUCCUUCCUUGGUAAAAGCAUUGUCUAUUAGGUGUGUUGAUUUAUGAGAGAGAAUCAGCUAUAUUUUAAUGAUAGUUGGACUGGACUGUAAAUACAGACUAGGAGUCACAAUAUAUGAGAAAAGCUCAUUUGUACUUAGUAUACUAGAUAAAUUGUUCCUGGCUUCUUAGGGUGUGACUAUACUUGCUGUCACACUCCCAAGUUUACUCAAGGACUGUGUGAUUUGCUGAGUAGGUGCUAGUCAUGUAAGAGAAAACCCGUCGGGAUGCAUUUUAUAUACCUGUUUUUUUCCUCAGCGUCAUGUGUUUUAUUAACUUUUUUUGUCCUCCCCCCACCCCCAUCAAAGGCAAAUCUCCCCAGGACGAGGCAAACUGUAGGAGUGAGAAAAUGUGACCACAAACAAUCUGAGCGGUAUGAAAUUUAACACUGUGAUUUUUGUUUUAGUGAGAGGAAAACACCAGUUGCUGGCUCUCAUAAAAUCCUAAGCUAAAUCCUAACUGUGUAUGUAGCAAUUUUAAAAUCUUUUUUCUUUUUUCUUUUUUUUUUUCCCUUCAGUUCAGCUGUUUCUUUCUCCAGUUAAUAACAGGUUGUGGGAUUAAAUCUCAGCUUUUGAUAUUUACUGGGAAAUGUAGUACAGUAAUUUAUGAGUCAAAAUCUACUUUGACUAAAUUAUCAUUGCAAAUUACAAUUUAUGAAAGUUGUUACUCUGACCAUAAUUACACCGUUGGCUAUGCACAACUUGAAAUCUCGCUUGCUGAAUAAAUUUGUUUUCAUUCAGAGUGCAUUCCUGGCAUUUUUAGAGAAGGGUGAAUCAAGCCUAACAGACAAAAUUUCCUAUGGAAUUUGUUAAAAAGAUCACCUUUAUUUGCUAAGCCUACCUAAAAUAUAAACAUUUCUUGAAUUAAUGAGAUGCUAUUUUGGUCUGCUAUAAGGGUUUCAUAUUCAAGGUUACGAAACUAUAGACUCCUGAGUAGAGUCGCAGGAGCUUCCACAUUACGCCAAGCCUUCAGCUAUCUACAUAUCCUAAAACUGCUAAAAUUAAAAGUGCUUGCUUGGAUAUUCUGCAAGCUGCCAGGAAAGAAAAAGCAGUCGAUAGGC